UACGUAGGGCGCAAGCGUUGUCCGGAAUUAUUGGGCGUAAAGAGCUCGUAGGCGGUCUGUUACGUCGGAAGUGAAAACCCGGGGCUUAACCCCGGGCUUGCUUUCGAUACGGGCAGACUAGAGUGUGGUAGGGGAGACUGGAAUUCCUGGUGUAGCGGUGAAAUGCGCAGAUAUCAGGAGGAACACCGGUGGCGAAGGCGGGUCUCUGGGCCACUACUGACGCUGAGGAGCGAAAGCGUGGGGAGCGAACAGG
rnacentral:rRNA from 1 species